rnacentral:rRNA from 1 species
GACGAACGCUGGCGGCGUGCUUAACACAUGCAAGUCGAACGGUGAAGCGCCUUCCUUUUUGGUGGGUGUGGAUGAGUGGCGAACGGGUGAGUAACACGUGAGUAACCUGCCCCCUUCUUCUGGAUAACCGCAUGAAAGUGUGGCUAAUACGGGAUAUUCUGGGUCUGUCGCAUGACGGGUCUGGGAAAGAUAUUGUUUCGGUGGGGGAUGGGCUCGCGGCCUAUCAGCUUGUUGGUGGGGUGAUGGCCUACCAAGGCGGUGACGGGUAGCCGGCCUGAGAGGGUGGACGGUCACACUGGGACUGAGACACGGCCCAGACUCCUACGGGAGGCAGUAGUGGGGAAUAUUGCACAAUGGGCGCAAGCCUGAUGCAGCGACGCCGCGUGAGGGAUGGAGGCCUUCGGGUUGUGAACCUCUUUCGCCAGUGAAGCAGGCCUGCCUCGUUUGUGGGUGGGUUGACGGUAGCUGGAUAAGAAGCGCCGGCUAACUACGUG